rnacentral:tRNA from 1 species
GGCACUUUGGCCGAGUGGUCUAAGGCGCUGUGUUCAGGUCUUCUACAAAAGAAUCUCUGUACGAUUCUUCGUCGUGCAGGCGAUUUUGAAAGCCUCUACUUCGCAGUCUAGAAAUAGGCGUGGGUUCGAGUCCCACAGGUGUCA